CCAACGUCGGACAGGUGACGACAUGCUAACUAUGCCUAGCCAUCCAGUUUCAAAGAUUAAAAACAUUAUGAUAGACCUCACACGACUUACAAGGCAACUUUAUUCCCAUGACCAGUUAUCUAGAAUUGCCCAUCCUUUGUGCUGUUCUCUUGACCCCAAUUACUCAACCCUCCUACCUGUUAAGGGAUUGAUACAGGACAGUUUGAAGUGCAACAAACAAUGCAACAACCCAUGACAGUGCAGUUAAGAAGGAGUAAUUGGAGCUGGGUGGGACAUACACUGCAUAAGGCUGACUCUAAUGUGACACUCCAG